rnacentral:rRNA from 1 species
CCUACGGGGUGCUGCAGUGAGGAAUAUUGGUCAAUGGACGAGAGUCUGAACCAGCCAAGUAGCGUGAAGGAUGACUGCCCUAUGGGUUGUAAACUUCUUUUAUAAGGGAAUAAAAUGUUCCACGUGUGGGAUUUUGUAUGUACCAUAUGAAUAAGGAUCGGCUAACUCCGUGCCAGCAGCCGCGGUAAUACGGAGGAUCCGAGCGUUAUCCGGAUUUAUUGGGUUUAAAGGGAGCGUAGGUGGAUUGUUAAGUCAGUUGUGAAAGUUUGCGGCUCAACCGUAAAAUUGCAGUUGAAACUGGCAGUCUUGAGUACAGUAGAGGUGGGCGGAAUUCGUGGUGUAGCGGUGAAAUGCUUAGAUAUCACGAAGAACUCCGAUUGCGAAGGCAGUUCACUGGACUGCAACUGACACUGAGGCUCGAAAGUGUGGGUAUCAAACAGGAUUAGAUACCCUGGUAGUC